UGGACGACUCUCGGCAACGGAUAUCUCGGCUCUCGCAUCGAUGAAGAACGUAGCGAAAUGCGAUACCUGGUGUGAAUUGCAGAAUCCCGUGAACCAUCGAGUCUUUGAACGCAAGUUGCGCCCGAGGCCAUCCGGCUAAGGGCACGCCUGCCUGGGCGUCACGCUU
rnacentral:rRNA from 1 species